AAUCAACGCUGGCGGCGCGCUUAACACAUGCAAGUCGAGCGAGAAAGUCCCCUUCGGGGGAGUGAGUAAAGCGGCGGACGGGUGAGUAACACGUGGGUUACCUGCCCUUGAGUGGGGAAUAACCUCGGGAAACUGGGGCUAAUACCGCAUACGAUCCUUCGGGAUGAAAGCCUUCGGGCGCUCAAGGAGGGGCCCGCGGCCGAUUAGCUAGUUGGUAGGGUAAUGGCCUACCAAGGCGUCGAUCGGUAGCCGGCCNGAGAGGGCACACGGCCACACUGGCACUGAGACACGGGCCAGACUCCUACGGGAGGCAGCAGUGGGGAAUCUUGGACAAUGGGGGAAACCCUGAUCCAGCGACGCCGCGUGACCGAUGACGCC
rnacentral:rRNA from 1 species